CAAACACGCUCUCGGACAGUGUCUGGUGGGUAGUUUGACUGGGGCGGUCUCCUCCCAAAGAGUAACGGAGGAGCACGAAGGUUUGCUAAUCACGGUCGGACAUCGUGAGGUUAGUGCAAUGGUAUAAGCAAGCUUAACUGCGAGACAGACAAGUCGAGCAGGUGCGAAAGCAGGGCAUAGUGAUCCGGUGGUUCUGUGUGGAAGGGCCAUCGCUCAACGGAUAAAAGGUACUCCGGAUAACAGGCUGAUCGC
rnacentral:rRNA from 1 species